rnacentral:rRNA from 1 species
CCUACGGGGGGCAGCAGUCGAGAAUUAUUCACAAUGGGGGAAACCCUGAUGGUGCGACGCCGCGUGGGGGAAUGAAGGUCUUCGGAUUGUAAACCCCUGUCAUGUGGGAGCAAAUUAAAAAGAUCGUACCACAAUAGGAAGAGACGGCUAACUCUGUGCCAGCAGCCGCGGUAAUACAGAGGUCUCAAGCGUUGUUCGGAAUCACUGGGCGUAAGGCGUGCGUAGGCUGUUUCGUAAGUCGUGUGUGAAAGGCGCGGGCUCAACCCGCGGACGGCACAUGAUACUGCGAGACUAGAGUAAUGGAGGGGGAACCGGAAUUCUCGGUGUAGCAGUGAAAUGCGUAGAUAUCGAGAGGAACACUCGUGGCGAAGGCGGGUUCCUGGACAUUAACUGACGCUGAGGCACGAAGGCCAGGGGAGCGAAAGGGAUUAGAUACCCUAGUAGUC